GACCGCGUCGCGGAUGCCGCCCCGGGCCUCCUUGAGGUCCGGCUCGAUGAGGUACGCGAGCUCGCCGUGCCGGUCGGCGCGCUGCUU
rnacentral:tRNA from 1 species